rnacentral:misc_RNA from 1 species
GUUGCCCCAACAAGCUGGUAUGGCUCCUCUCCACUGUCAUAGUUAGGAUCAUUCCGAUCAAUAUGUGAUUCACCAUCAGUAUCAAGCAGUUUUCCCCAUGUGCCCUUACCACCACCACCAUCCUUCUUCACACGCACAAACUUGCCCGAGUGCGACCUUCGCACAUGCCUCACUGCAAUCCCAGCAGUUGGUGCCUUGCCAGCAGCAGGAACUUUUAACUGAUGCUCAGAAAGCAACAUUGAUGGGGAUUUUGGGGAGGGUGACAAACUCUUUGGGGAUGAUGACAAAUUUUCCACAUUUAGACUUGCUAUUUUCAACAUUUCCCUCUGCUCAUCCGUCAGAAAUCCCUCCCUAGACGCCAUUUACACUUUGCCAACUCUCGAAUCACUAAAUCCAAACUGCACACUUGAGGAUGGUUCAAUCCAAAUAUCCGAAUCCGACACUUCUGUGCUUGGCCCGGAUCUCGAGCCAAGGCAAUAGAAGCAAUCGGAUCUCCCAAAACGGGGCGCCCGAUCCGAACUAAAAUGAUGGGAGGAAGGGAAGAAGUAUAUAGAAUUGAAUCUGAAAACCUAGAUCAAAAGGAGCUCCGGGUUCGUGGAUCCCGUAUUCAGAUAUUGUUUUAUGGGUCUGUGAGUGAGCGAGUGUCCCUAUCUCUUAAGGAGGAAUAAAGGACAAGAAAGAAAGGGAGAGAAAUGGA